rnacentral:lncRNA from 1 species
CACGAGUGUGCCAAGUGCUGUGCCUUCGCAGGCUUCCUCGUCUAGACAUGAAGGGCCAUGCAGAAGGAACCCUGAGACCCCAAAGAUAUAAACUGUGACUGAAAGACCAAUGGCUGUGGACGCAGGAAUGCAGGCUGAAGACAGCCGCACUUCCCUCAGCGAGCUCUGGCUGUGCGCACUGUCCUCGGGAGUCAACUAGGAGUCCCCAGAGCUCUCUGCCCUGGACCCAAGCUGCCGCGAAGACACAGAGGAAACCUGGUACUGAGGACACAGUACCAAACCUGGUACUUCUUCAUAAAAGGUCUUCCAGCUGCAUGAGACAGGAGGUUUGUGCAGACCUUUACGGGGUGAUGAGACUAAGAGACGACCAAGUUAAGGCCUAAGUUCACACCAGUAGACCAGCGCACAGGCCCACUGAGUGGCCGGUGCGUGUGCCACUGACGCGGCGUGCGCUGCUUUCCCAGAUCCUCGGAGCCCAGGA